rnacentral:rRNA from 1 species
AGACGAGGGGCCCGAGCGUUAAUCGGAAUCACUGGGCUUAAAGGGUACGUAGGCGGAUGUGUAGGUGUCUUGUGAAAUCCCUGGGCUUAACCCAGGAACUGCAAGGCAAACCACAUGUCUCGAGGCAGGUAGAGGUCGUCGGAACGAUAGGUGGAGCGGUGAAAUGCGUAGAUAUCUAUCGGAACGCCAACGGUGAAGACAGACGACUGGGCCUGAUCUGACGCUGAGGUACGAAAGCGUGGGGAGCGAACGGGAUUAGAAACCCCAGUAGUCC